ensembl:lncRNA OSER1-DT OSER1 divergent transcript
GAAUUCUCAUUUUACCUGCUUUCCAUCCCUAAUUAUAUUAAAUACCAAAAACUAAAAAGUUACAGUAUUUCAUUUUAUGUAAGCACAUCUCCAUCAUAAAGAGUUAGAUGCUUUCCAAGAAUGUGACUCAUUACUCGGGGAGUACUUGGAAGGUGGGAACCUCUUGUGAAUGCUGAAGCCUGUUAACUCACACACCUGACGUGGCCUGAAGUUUUAAGUCAUUAUACAUAGGACUGGCUCACGGUGUGAUACAUCAUGACUUGGAAAGAGAUAGAAAAGCUACAAAAUGGGAUGGAUCUGAGUGAACAAAAAGCCAGAUCGGUGUCCUAUACCAGCAAUUCCAAGUCUUUUUAACCAUGGGAAAAAAACCUGAAUUUGUGUGUGGACUUUAUAUUGAAGAAAUCAACUUUGUAUUAAUGCACAUGGUAAUGCCAUUUAAUUAAAAAGCUGUGGUAGAUGUAAAAUUCCUCUAACAGUGCUUCUUUCUUGCUACAAGUGUCUUGUACAUGCUUUAGUAAGAGAGACUUAAUUCCAUGAAUUUAUACUGCAAGAACAAUUUAUAUAGGAAGAUAAUAGUUUCUCUUAAAAAAUAACUUUGGAGAAGCCAAGUCCAAAGUAAUAAAGAAAAUUAUUUGCCUAACCAUGUGGCUGCCAUCCUACCAGUUGGUAAUCUGGAAAAUAUUCUGUUCUUAUGUUUUAAGACUCAAAUUAAUUUAUUUCUUACCUCGAUAUACUUUUUUAAAUGACUUAGGGUAGGCCAGGCGUGGUGGCUCACGCCUGUAAUCCCAACACUUUGGGAGGCUGAGGCAGGUGGAUCACCUGAAGUCAAGAGUUCGAGACCAGCCUGGCUAACAUGGUGAAACCCCAUCUCUACUGAAAAAUAAAUAAAUAAAUAUACAAAAAUUAGCUGGGAGUGGUGGGCACACACCUGUAAUCCUAGCUACUUGGAGGCUGAGGCAUGAGAAGCCCUUGAACCCAGGAGGUGGAGGUUGCAGUGAGCUGAGAUCAUGCCACGGCACUCCAGCCUGGGCUACAGAGCAAGACCUUGUCUCAAAAAAAAAAAUAAAAUUAAAUUAAAAUGACUUUGGGAUAGAAGAUAGUGAUAAUGAUUAUUUGUCUUGAUUUACAAGAUGUUAGCUCAUGUAAUCUUCAUAACCAAUUUGUGAAAUGUACUUCUAUGAUGUCUGUUUUACAGCUGAGGAAACUAGGCUCAGAAUAGUUAGAUAACUUGUCCAAGGUUACAUAGUUUGUAAGUGGUAGAACGGGGAUUCCAAUCUAGGCAGUCUGACUAUAGCACCCUGCUGACCGCUGAGUUACACUGCUUUCCUUAGCCUCCCCACCUUCACCUCCUGUAUGUACCCAGCUAGACCAGGGAUACCUGCUUUCACCUGGAAAAUACCACUGGGUUUGAGGAAAUUGGCUGCCCAGGGCCUAGGACUGUUCCAGCCACUCUUUCUUUGCAUAUAUUUGAACCCAGCAGGCAUAUUUCCCUCUCAGGUCUUUUGUAUGUAUUUCCCCUCCUGGAGCAUUGUUUACUCACAGUUCAUCUUGUCAUUCAAAGUCUCUGCUCAUAUCAGCUCCCCAGGGGGGUCUUCCUUGGCUUCCCCAGCACCCCCUUCACUGUGUAUCCCUUUACCCUGCUUUAUCAUAGCACUUGUCACUACCUGACAAUGUAUAGUUAUUUUUUGGUCCCCUCACUAGAAUAGAAGCUACCCGAGGACAGGGACUUUGUGUCUUUUUUUUAGUCACUAUUUUUUUUAAUCAAAGAUGCACAUUUUCCCACAAUUUAUUAAUAGCGGUUAGAAAAUCUGAAUGUGUCUUAUAAUCGCCAGUGUGUCCUGGUUUAAUUGGUAGUAUUUUUUUCUUUCUUACUUGUUCCUACAGUAAGUGGUGAGUCUUUAAAAUGAUGGUGUCUUAGAAUUGAUGAAAAUACAGUGUAUCCCCAAGGCCUGAACUCUAUGUGGCACAUAGUUGGCUCUCAAUAAUUACUUGUUAAAGGAAGGCAUUGAGUGUUGUGUGCCAGAAACUAUUGAAACCUUUUUUUUUUUUUUGAGAUCUCGCUCUGUCACCCAGGCUGGAGUGAAAUGGCACAAUCUUGGCUCACUGUAACCUCCGCCCCCAGGUUCGACUGAUUCUCGUGCCUCAGCCUCCUCAGUAGCUGGGAUUACAGAUGAGCCCCAGAGAGGCGAAGCCACUUGAGCUCGUGAGUGACAGUCAGAUGUCAAGCCCUGCUCUUUCUAAAGCGUGCUGCCUUCAGAAAAGAAGAGCCAGAAGGAUGGAAAUUACUUCAGAAAGAUGAAUACCAGCUUUGAAGGAAUAAAAGCUGACGAGGAAUUGAAGGAGUUGAGGCACGAGCUUGAACAGGGUUGCAUGUUUGGCCCUUGAUUGUAAAUGCCCAUUGCUGCACCUGUUCCUGUUACUUGGGGAGUUGCAGCAGAAGGAACAGCGGCCUGGGACUCCAGAGAACUGGGUUCCCUCUCAUCCCUCCAGGGCCACCACUUCUUGUGGGCCCUUGGGCAAGUCACUGUACUUUCUGAGUCUCAGUUUCCCCAUUUGCAGAAUGGAAAUAACUACCCCGGUCUACCAACUUAGAAGAAUUGCUUUGAGGAUCUGAUAAGGUGGUGUGGAUGAUGCUGCCUUGGGGGCUUUACAGUCUGGAGCUCAAGGGACCCCUUAAGUUGGGCUUACUUAGUAACUCCAGGGGUGGGCAGAACAGGACUCCAAUGAGGGUUUUUUUCUUUUUCCCUUUUUUUUCUUUUCCUAUCUCUUAACUUUUAUCUUUAUUAUUUUACAAUGCCCUUGUAAGAUGAAACAAGUGAUGCUGAAAUAUCUUUUUCUUUUUUAACCUUUAUUUUAGAAUUGGGGUACAUGUGCAGGUUUGUUACAUAGGUACAGUGUGGGCUGCUGAGGUUUGGGAGUACGAAUGAAUUAGUCACCCCAGUGGUGAGCAUAGUGCCCGAUAAGUGGUUUUUUCAACCCUUACUCCCAUCCCUCUCCAUUCUUGUGUUCCCCAGUGUCUGCUGUUCCCAUUUUUAUGACCAUGUGUACUCAAUGUUUAGCUCCCACUUAGAAGUAAGAACAUGCCCAGCACUUUGGGAGGCCGAGGUGGGUGGAUCAUGAGGUCAAGAGAUCGAGACCAUCUUGGCUAACAAAGUGAAACCCUGUCUCUACUAAAAACAUAAAAAAUUGGCCGGGUGUGGUGGUGGGCACCUGUAGUCCUAGCUACUCGGGAGGCUGAGACAGGAGAAUCGCCUGAACCGGGGAGGUGGAGGUUGCAGUGAGCUGAGAUUGUACCACUGCACUCCAGCCUGGGUGACAG